rnacentral:rRNA from 1 species
AUGGUGCAAAGGGCGCAUGCUGGCGAUGUCCACAUCGGAUCAGCUACAAGACAAAACAAAGAGAUUUAUUUCGUCUCGAGAAAAAAGAGAGAAAGAGAUUGGCCAGCGAAGAGAGAAAGGGAUUGCCCCCCAGUCAAGAUCCCCCGAUUCCUCUCCCUCUCCCUUGUUGCCGCCGCCGCCACCGGUGACCUCCCCUCAGCCACGCCCUCCCCAACGGCGACCUCCCCUCCCCCUCGCACCAGAUCGAGCAGCAGGUCGGGCAGGGCAGAGUGGAGCGGGGAUGGGAGGAGAUGGCGGCAACGUCGUCCUCCUCGCCCAUCGGCGGGCGACACCUGUCAGAGUAGACCUAGGUCGCCGUUGUGGCUGCUGUCUCAGGCGAGAAGAGGAGUGGUCAUAUUAGGACGCGAGGAGGGGGAGCAGCCAACCAUGCUCAAGGCCGUCCGCGGUGGCCGCAAAUCGAGGCGGCGACUACAAUUCGAAGCUGCAGAAGACGGAGGCGAAGAUGUCGAGCAUGUGGCCCUGCGCACAAGAGAAUACACUUACUGCCAGAAAAGUUGUGCUCUGAAGGGGUGCGAGGACUGCUAG